rnacentral:rRNA from 1 species
AGUGAACGCUGGCGGUAGGCCUAACACAUGCAAGUCGAACGGCAGCACAGUAAGAGCUUGCUCUUACGGGUGGCGAGUGGCGGACGGGUGAGGAAUACAUCGGAAUCUACUUUUUCGUGGGGGAUAACGUAGGGAAACUUACGCUAAUACCGCAUACGACCUACGGGUGAAAGCAGGGGAUCUUCGGACCUUGCGCGAUUGAAUGAGCCGAUGUCGGAUUAGCUAGUUGGCGGGGUAAGGGCCCACCAAGGCGACGAUCCGUAGCUGGUCUGAGAGGAUGAUCAGCCACACUGGAACUGAGACACGGUCCAGACUCCUACGGGAGGCAGCAGUGGGGAAUAUUGGACAAUGGUCGCAAGCCUGAUCCAGUCAUACCGCGUAGGUGAAGAAGGACUUCGGGUUGUAAAGCCCUUUUGUUGGGAAAGAAAAGCAGCAGGUUAAUACCCCGCUGUUCUGACGGUACAAAAAGAAUAAGCACCGGCUAACUUCGUG